AUAACCUACACAAUUGGACUG
rnacentral:siRNA from 1 species